rnacentral:misc_RNA from 1 species
AGAAAAAACACAUAAAAAAUAAAUUUCUCAAGAGUAUAAUAAAUAUCUUCAUCGAGCAUUCAAAAAACAGUGCUAUGGUUAAUUAAACUAGAGUAAAAAGAAUGAAAUCAUUGCUAUCAGUUCCCAUCUUAGCAACCACAGUCCCAAAUCUCACACCGGACACAUUUUCACCGCCGGAAACUCCAAUCUGGUGGUUCUUCCCUCCGUCGCCGCCGGAGACUCCAAUCUGGUGGUGAUCUUCAUCGUGCCUGGCGGGAGGAUGGUAGUACAUACGGGAAGUUUGAGGACAAUGAGAAUUGAAUCUAGCCACCAUUCUCACUCCGGUAUCCAACAGCUCCACAUACUUACUCAUCUUCUUCUUCAAUCUCUUGAGAUGAUUCUGCUAAAACGAUUCGGAAGAAGAAGAAAAAGGGUUUAGAAAGCGUCCCAAAUAUCGGAUCCCAUAAAAUUUGGGGAUUAAAGAGAAAGUUGAGGAAAAUGGAAGGCG